rnacentral:rRNA from 1 species
GUGGGGUAAUGGCCUACCAAGGCGGCGACGGGUAGCCGGCCUGAGAGGGUGGACGGCCACAUUGGGACUGAGAUACGGCCCAGACUCCUACGGGAGGCAGCAGUGGGGAAUAUUGCACAAUGGGCGCAAGCCUGAUGCAGCGACGCCGCGUGGGGGAUGACGGCCUUCGGGUUGUAAACUCCUUUCGCUAGGGACGAAGCUUUUUGUGACGGUACCUAGAUAAGAAGCACCGGCUAACUACGUGCCAGCAGCCGCGGUAAUACGUAGGGUGCGAGCGUUGUCCGGAAUUACUGGGCGUAAAGGGCUCGUAGGUGGUUUGUCGCGUCGUCUGUGAAAUUCCGGGGCUUAACUCCGGGCGUGCAGGCGAUACGGGCAUAACUUGAGUACUGUAGGGGUAACUGGAAUUCCUGGUGUAGCGGUGAAAUGCGCAGAUAUCAGGAGGAACACCGAUGGCGAAGGCAGGUUACUGGGCAGUUACUGACGCUGAGGAGCGAAAGCAUGGGUAGCGAACAGGAUUAGAUACCCUGGUAGUCCAUGCCGUAAACGGUGGGCGCUAGGUGUGAGGGUCUUUUCACGACUUUCGUGCCGUAGCUAACGCGUUAAGCG